CUGGGACUCACGCAUACCUCCUGGAUCCGGAGGAUAUCAGCGUAGACCAUCCCGAUGAGAAGUCUGUCAUCACUUACGUCGUCACAUACUACCAUUAUUUCUCCAAGAUGAAGGCCCUGGAGGUGGAGGGCAAACGAAUC